rnacentral:rRNA from 1 species
GAUGAAGCCUAGCGACAGGCCUAACACAUGCAAGUCAGGGGCAGCACAUGAGUAGCAAUACGAUGGUGGCGACCGGCGCACGGGUGAGUAACACGUAUGCAACCUGCCUGUAAGACGGGGAAUAACCCGGAGAAAUUCGGACUAAUACCGCAUAAUACCACGAGACUGCAUGGUUUUGUGGUUAAACAUUUAUGGCUUACAGAUGGGCAUGCGUAUGAUUAGAUAGUUGGUAGGGUAACGGCCUACCAAGUCUACGAUCAUUAGGGGUUCUGAGAGGAAGGUCCCCCACACUGGUACUGAGACACGGACCAGACUCCUACGGGAGGCAGCAGUGAGGAAUAUUGGUCAAUGGGCGAGAGCCUGAACCAGCCAAGUCGCGUGAAGGAAGAAGGUUCUAUGGAUUGUAAACUUCUUUUGCAGGGGAAUAAAGGACGGUACGUGUACUGUUUUGUAUGUACCUUGCGAAUAAGGAUCGGCUAACUCCGUG